rnacentral:rRNA from 1 species
GACGAACGCUGGCGGCGUGCCUAAUACAUGCAAGUAGAACGCUGAAGGAGGAGCUUGCUUCUCUGGAUGAGUUGCGAACGGGUGAGUAACGCGUAGGUAACCUGCCUGGUAGCGGGGGAUAACUAUUGGAAACGAUAGCUAAUACCGCAUAAUAGUAGAUGUUGCAUGACAUUUACUUAAAAGGUGCAAUUGCAUCACUACCAGAUGGACCUGCGUUGUAUUAGCUAGUUGGUGGGGUAACGGCUCACCAAGGCGACGAUACAUAGCCGACCUGAGAGGGUGAUCGGCCACACUGGGACUGAGACACGGCCCAGACUCCUACGGGAGGCAGCAGUAGGGAAUCUUCGGCAAUGGACGGAAGUCUGACCGAGCAACGCCGCGUGAGUGAAGAAGGUUUUCGGAUCGUAAAGCUCUGUUGUAAGAGAAGAACGAGUGUGAGAGUGGAAAGUUCACACUGUGACGGUAUCUUACCAGAAAGGGACGGCUAACUACGUGCCAGCAGCCGCGGUAAUACGUAGGUCCCGAGCGUUGUCCGGAUUUAUUGGGCGUAAAGCGAGCGCAGGCGGUUAGAUAAGUCUGAAGUUAAAGGCUGUGGCUUAACCAUAGUACGCUUUGGAAACUGUUUAACUUGAGUGCAAGAGGGGAGAGUGGAAUUCCAUGUGUAGCGGUGAAAUGCGUAGAUAUAUGGAGGAACACCGGUGGCGAAAGCGGCUCUCUGGCUUGUAACUGACGCUGAGGCUCGAAAGCGUGGGGAGCAAACAGG